GAAGACGCGGCGCGCGUUGGUCUUCUUUUGUUCGUUGGGUGCUGCAUCACAAGUGGGCCGAAUAGCCAAGGUGGAGUUUCUGCUAAUUCAUUAGUGCAAACUUCAGUUCCGCGGACCGGAGAACUCCUGUGCUGGUGCGCGAGUCGCUGAACGAGUUUUGCAGCGAAGGUUGAGUUAUUUUCGCUGGCAAAGGCCGGGAAGGAGAUCGAUACUCAUUCAACACGGUUCCCAGUGUAGCGAAGACAAGAAAGCGCGAUGGCGGCUAGUAGCACGAACCGUCGUGUUGUGGACUCGAAGGAGAUGUGCUGUUCGUGAUGACUGGCAAUCAAAGAGGUUGCUGGUGGAGUGGAGCAAACGAAAUGACCUUCUACUGAAGACGAAAUGCGAAACGACAUGGAGAUUUCGAACGAGGACACGUGUGGUGCUGGAUGCGGCAGAUACCGUCCGUUUAGGGGUGUCUCUGAACGGAAAGGAACAAAACGUAAAAAACGCAAAAAGUGACUAUUUUAAAUUCCUGAACAAUAUUUUCAUUCGAAUAGUACAAAAAGUUGUAUUAGAUUUUUGGUUGAUUCAUAACCUUGCUUUAUAUACAUUACUUUGUUAUCAUUUCAUUAAUGAGUUCGAUUAACUUUAGUUUUAAGCAAAGGGGGAAGGACUGUUGAGUACCCUCGUUUGAGUACUAGUCAAAUGACAGCACAAAUACAUGUAACGCGCGUUCUCUAACUUACCUUAAAUAAACGAGCUUGUGCUCUA